rnacentral:rRNA from 1 species
GAGUGAUCCUGCGCCGAAGAUUUCCGGGGCUAAAACUUACUACCGAAGCUACGGCAUCAUUAUGAUGGGUAGGGGAGCUUCCCAUGCGGGUUGAAGCAUGACCGUAAGGACAUGUGGACAGUAUGGGCGUGAGAAUGUUGGCAUGAGUAGCGAGAUGUGGGUGAGAAUCCCACAGGCCGUAAACCCAAGGUUUCCAGGGGAAGGUUCGUCCGC